rnacentral:misc_RNA from 1 species
AAAAAAUAUUGAAAUAUGAAGUUGUAAAAUCCAGAAAUCUGGAUCGAAGUUUAAAAAAUUUUAAAUUUUUGUGUAUACAUAACAUUUAUAAAUAUUUCUUUUUCUGUUUGCUCCGAAUUUCUUUACUUCGAUUUUGCUCCGAUUAGCACGAACCUGACUUAAAGUCCAAGUGCAGCGGGUGCAACAACCGAGGGACAACGGGAGCGUACAUUCAUGCGUGAACUGCAGGUGUUGUUUACUCUAGUUUACUCGUCAAUGAGUGCUCCUCAUUGAAUAGAUAGACUGGAAACCGCGAGAAGAUGAGCGUACGCGAAUUCGGCGUCUCGAGGGAGACCGUUCGUGGUUUAUUCGUAAACGAGCACUCCCAUUCAACAAGACGGACGUAACUUUUUCACGUGUACCGCGUCGCACGUUGACUCAUACUUGCUCAUACUGCACAUUCCGAAGGUAUAAUUCAUAACGCUGUGCCGCGAAACGAGAAGGCCGGGAUUGAGAGUUCCGCAAUCGAUAUAUAAAACUCAAGAAAAAAAAAAAUGGUUGGCAAGAUGACGACGAUAAUUACAUUCCUUUUGUUCUUCUGCGGAGUUUGUUUCGUGUGCGCUCAAAAGUAUGAGGGCUGUUUUCGAAGUUCCGAUCACGGGUUACCCUCUCCAGCCUUGGCCUACGCCAGCACGCCCGCCGAGUGCACCAAAAGAUGCCGUUCUUAUUAUUAUAUGUUUGCAGCGUUAAUGAAUGGGCAACUAUGUUAUUGUAUCAGUAGAUUUGGUCAGGACGGUCCAUCAAAUAGUUGUACUGUUCCCUGUGCCUCUGAUCCGGAUAAUUAUUGUGGCAGCUACGAAGCUAUGAGUGUUUAUGCUACUGGUCAGCAAGGGCCAAGUCCACCGAGGAGAAUAGAGGUAACUCGAGACGGCAUAGACGCUCUCAUAAUAACGUGGCAGCCACCUGACAUACCUAAUGGAAAUGUGACGUUUUAUACCGUUCGUGCUGUUAGCGUGGAAACACACUCGAGCAACAUUCUGCCACCUGUCGAGAGUCAGAUUCAGGGAGGUUCGUCGAACAUGACGACUUUGAGAGGUCUUCAGCCUGGCACCAAAUAUAAUAUAUCUAUCACCGCUAGCAACAUGCUCGGAGCUAGCGAUCCGGCCUAUGUUGUGGGAUGGACUUCGAUCGGUCCUCCUGACAAACCAGCCAUGCCCGAGGUGGUGGAAUGCGAUGACAGCACAAUCACCGUCGUGCUUACCGAGGGUCAUAGCGAAUAUGGACCGAUCAGCGCGUAUCAGGUGGUUGUCGCACAGACUGGCACUAUACCUCCGAUUGGUCCCCAUGUGGAGUACUUAAACUACAACGACGCGUCGCAACAGGGCUUAAAUUAUUACGUCACCGCGCAGUUCGAUCCAUCGAAUUUUUACAAAUACAAAAGAUUCACCGUGGGCGACGGGAGGAUGAUCGGUGGUUAUUAUAACGCCCCGUUAAAGGACCAUUUUGUUUCGGCGCAAGUCGGCUUGGCGAUAAUCUCGCGGGUACAGACAGAAAUACAACGUUCCUAUUCCGAUUUGGCCAAUAACGCGUUCAGCCAUGAGACGACAGUCACGAAUCAAAUGGACUCAACGGCUCUUGUGCUUUGCAUAGCGAUUACGUUGCUAAGUAUACUACUCGCUGUUUCGAUACUGGUUUAUUUUGUACUGCGACGGCGACACGAGAGAUUUCACAUGCGAAAACUGCCGGAGCAGCAGGAGCUCACGUUACAGGGUCCGGUGUAUGAGGUGGACAACAUGGGCUACAUUCCGGAAGACAUUCCCGAGAGAGUGAAUCACUAUCAAGAGUUGAAGAAGAAAGUCUGGAGUAUACCGCGAAACGCGCUGUCCAUCGAUAAUCACAUUUUGCGCAGAGGACGAUUCGGCAGUGUGCACACCGGAACCGUUUUGAAGGAUGACGGCCUCUGUACGGUAACGGUUCAUACGAUAGCCGAUGGUGCCCUGAAGGGAUCCGACAAGAGGCACAUGCUGAGAGAAUUAGAUGUGUGCAUCCGAGCGAGCUCCAUGAAGUAUCUCGCAGGCCUCGUGGGAACUUGCGAAACCUCGGACACGUUAUACGUCGUGCUGGAACUGCCACCGCAGAUCUUGAAGAACCGUCUCUUGGGUGCGCGAUCCGGAGACGCGUUUCCGGUAGAUCGAGUACUAUCCAUCUCAUCUUUGAUAGCGGUCGCCUUGCAGUACUUGGCGACUCACAAGAUCAUCCAUAAUCGGCUCUGCGCGCGAAGCGUGGGGCUGACGAGCGACUGGACACCGAAACUCACGGGUCACGGUAUUUCCAAGUACGCCUUGGAAGACAUGAAAUACGCAAGAUGGACCGCCGUCGAAUGCUUCGACAAUCAAAAGAAACAUCAACCGGGCGUGAUCUGGGCGUUCGGUGUACUUCUCUGGGAGAUAUUUAGCAUGGGCGGUACACCGUACUCGAAUCUAACGCUCGACAGCGAAGUGGAAAAUGCGGUUACGCAAGGCAUUCGGUUACCACAAUUGUUGGACGUCACAGAUCCGAUUUACGAGGUCAUGUUGUCCUGCUGGCGAAACGAUCCCGAAGAUCGGCCGACCUUUGACGAACUCACGCGAUUGGAUACUUUGAGUAUUUGUCCUAUUACUGCAAUUACGGAGCCCUAUAUACCGGAAUUGGAGUUGAAUUAACAUUCUUAUUUGCAUACUCAGGCACAUCUGCAUUUACUUGAUAGUAACGUAUCAAAUUGCGAUUUGUAAAUAUCUCAUUGUGUUCACGGGAAUCUCGUAGAUUUCAUCGUUACCAAUAUAAUCGCUGAUCAUCGAAGCGGACAAUCUUCACGUAGUAUGAGGCGAUGAGACUUUGCUCGAGUGAGAAUGU